GGCCAGCUCCUACGGGAGGCAGCAGUGAGGAAUAUUGGUCAAUGGCCGAGAGGCUGAACCAGCCAAGUCGCGUGAGGGAAGACGGCCCUACGGGUUGUAAACCUCUUUUGUCGGGGAGCAAAGCGAGUCACGUGUGACUCAUUGAGAGUACCCGAAGAAAAAGCAUCGGCUAACUCCGUGCCAGCAGCCGCGGUAAUACGGAGGAUGCGAGCGUUAUCCGGAUUUAUUGGGUUUAAAGGGUGCGCAGGCGGAGGUGCAAGUCAGCGGUCAAAUUGCGGGGCUCAACCUCGUCGUGCCGUUGAAACUGAUGUUCUUGAGUGGGCGAGAAGUAUGCGGAAUGCGUGGUGUAGCGGUGAAAUGCAUAGAUAUCACGCAGAACUCCGAUUGCGAAGGCAGCAUACCGGCGCCCAACUGACGCUGAAGCACGAAAGCGUGGGUAUCGAACAGGAUUAGAUACCCUCGUAAU
rnacentral:rRNA from 1 species